CCACGGACGAUGACAUUAGCUGCAGAAUAAGCACCGGCUAACUCUGUGCCAGCAGCCGCGGUAAUACAGAGGGUGCAAGCGUUAAUCGGAAUUACUGGGCGUAAAGCGAGCGUAGGUGGCUUGAUAAGUCAGAUGUGAAAUCCCCGGGCUUAACCUGGGAACUGCAUCUGAUACUGUUAAGCUAGAGUAGGUGAGAGGGAAGUAGAAUUUCAGGUGUAGCGGUGAAAUGCGUAGAGAUCUGAAGGAAUACCGAUGGCGAAGGCAGCUUCCUGGCAUCAUACUGACACUGAGGCUCGAAAGCGUGGGUAGCAAACAGGAUUAGAUACCCUGGUAGUCCACGCCGUAAACGAUGUCUACUAGUCGUUGGGUCCCUUGAGGACUUAGUGACGCAGCUAACGCAAUAAGUAGACCGCCUGGGGAGUACGGCCGCAAGGUUAAAACUCAAAUGAAUUGACGGGGGCCCGCACAAGCGGUGGAGCAUGUGGUUUAAUUCGAUGCAACGCGAAGAACCUUACCUGGUCUUGACAUAUCUAGAAUCCUGCAGAGAUGCGGGAGUGCCUUCGGGAAUUAGAAUACAGGUGCUGCAUGGCUGUCGUCAGCUCGUGUCGUGAGAUGUUGGGUUAAGUCCCGCAACGAGCGCAACCCUUGUCCUUAGUUACCAGCGGGUUAAGCCGGGAACUCUAAGGAUACUGCCAGUGACAAACUGGAGGAAGGCGGGGACGACGUCAAGUCAUCAUGGCCCUUACGACCAGGGCUACACACGUGCUACAAUGGUAGGUACAGAGGGCAG
rnacentral:rRNA from 1 species